GGUGUGACUGCGUACCUUUUGUAUAAUGGGUCAGCGACUUAUAUUCUGUAGCAAGGUUAACCGUAUAGGGGAGCCGCAGGGAAACCGAGUCUUAACUGGGCGUUAAGUUGCAGGGUAUAGACCCGAAACCCGGUGAUCUAGCCAUGGGCAGGUUGAAGGUUGGGUAACACUAACUGGAGGACCGAACCGACUAAUGUUGAAAAAUUAGCGGAUGACUUGUGGCUGGGGGUGAAAGGCCAAUCAAACCGGGAGAUAGCUGGUUCUCCCCGAAAGCUAUUUAGGUAGCGCCUCGUGAACUCAUCUUCGGGGGUAGAGCACUGUUUCGGCUAGGGGGUCAUCCCGACUUACCAACCCGAUGCAAACUACGAAUACCGAAGAAUGUUAUCACGGGAGACACACGGCGGGUGCUAACGUCCGUCGUGAAGAGGGAAACAACCCAGACCGCCAGCUAAGGUCCCAAAGUCAUGGUUAAGUGGGAAACGAUGUGGGAAGGCACAGACAGCCAGGAUGUUGGCUUAGAAGCAGCCAUCAUUUAAAGAAAGCGUAAUAGCUCACUGGUCGAGUCGGCCUGCGCGGAAGAUGUAACGGGGCUAAACCAUGCACCGAAGCUGCGGCAGCGACACUAUGUGUUGUUGGGUAGGGGAGCGUUCUGUAAGCCUGCGAAGGUGACCUGUGAGGGUUGCUGGAGGUAUCAGAAGUGCGAAUGCUGACAUAAGUAACGAUAAAGCGGGUGAAAAGCCCGCUCGCCGGAAGACCAAGGGUUCCUGUCCAACGUUAAUCGGGGCAGGGUGAGUCGACCCCUAAGGCGAGGCCGAAAGGCGUAGUCGAUGGGAAACAGGUUAAUAUUCCUGUACUUGGUGUUACUGCGAAGGGGGGACGGAGAAGGCUAUGUUAGCCGGGCGACGGUUGUCCCGGUUUAAGCAUGUAGGCUGGUUAUCCAGGCAAAUCCGGAUAAUCAAGGCUGAGGUGUGAUGACGAGGCACUACGGUGCUGAAGUAACAAAUGCCCUGCUUCCAGGAAAAGCCUCUAAGCAUCAGGUAACAUCAAAUCGUACCCCAAACCGACACAGGUGGUCAGGUAGAGAAUACCAAGGCGCUUGAGAGAACUCGGGUGAAGGAACUAGGCAAAAUGGUGCCGUAACUUCGGGAGAAGGCACGCUGGUGUGUAGGUGAAGCCCCUGCGGGUGGAGCUGAGACCAGUCGAAGAUACCAGCUGGCUGCAACUGUUUAUUAAAAACACAGCACUGUGCAAACACGAAAGUGGACGUAUACGGUGUGACGCCUGCCCGGUGCCGGAAGGUUAAUUGAUGGGGUUAUCCGUAAGGAGAAGCUCUUGAUCGAAGCCCCGGUAAACGGCGGCCGUAACUAUAACGGUCCUAAGGUAGCGAAAUUCCUUGUCGGGUAAGUUCCGACCUGCACGAAUGGCGUAAUGAUGGCCAGGCUGUCUCCACCCGAGACUCAGUGAAAUUGAACUCGCUGUGAAGAUGCAGUGUACCCGCGGCAAGACGGAAAGACCCCGUGAACCUUUACUAUAGCUUGACACUGAACAUUGAGCCUUGAUGUGUAGGAUAGGUGGGAGGCUUUGAAGCGUGGACGCCAGUCUGCGUGGAGCCAACCUUGAAAUACCACCCUUUAAUGUUUGAUGUUCUAACGUUGGCCCCUGACCGGGGUUGCGGACAGUGUCUGGUGGGUAGUUUGACUGGGGCGGUCUCCUCCCAAAGCGUAACGGAGGAGCACGAAGG
rnacentral:rRNA from 1 species